rnacentral:rRNA from 1 species
GACGAACGCUGGCGGCGUGCUUAACACAUGCAAGUCGAACGGAAAGGCCCUGCUUUUGUGGGGUGCUCGAGUGGCGAACGGGUGAGUAACACGUGAGUAACCUGCCCUUGACUUUGGGAUAACUUCAGGAAACUGGGGCUAAUACCGGAUAGGAGCUCCUGCUGCAUGGUGGGGGUUGGAAAGUUUCGGCGGUUGGGGAUGGACUCGCGGCCUAUCAGCUUGUUGGUGGGGUAGUGGCUUACCAAGGCCUGGACGGGUAGCCGGCCUGAGAGGGUGACCGGCCACAUUGGGACUGGGAUGCGGCACAGACCCCUACGGGAGGCAGCAGUGGGGAAUAUUGCACAAUGGGCGGAGGCCUGAUGCAGCAACGCCGCGUGCGGGAUGACGGCCUUCGGUUUGUAAACCGCUUUCGCCUGUGACGAAGCGUGAGUGACGGUAAUGGGUAAAGAAGCACCGGCUAACUACGUG